CCUUUAAAGCCUGACUAAAGAUUAUUAAAACAUGAUUUCAAAAACACUUUAAAUAAAACUUUUAAUUUGACAUUAUUACAAAGUGCACUUUUUAAAAGUGAAAGUGUCUCUCUUUAAGUGCACUAAGGUGUCCUUUUAUUUAAUUAAUAUAUUAUCUGAAAGUACUGAUUUUUUUAGAAAUAUACAACUAUGAUUUGAAGCACACUCCAAGUGCACAUUCGAUACUAUUAAGUGCACUUCUUUUUCACAAGCAAGAUUAAUGAUCACAACAAUAUUAGCCCUAAUAGUGUCAUACAACAAACCACUAUGUGUUUUCAUUUGCACGGGUGUUUUUAAAGUGCAACAGGUGCUACAGAGUACUUGUGGAAAACCAUGGCACUUGUGGCGUCUGUCUUUUACUGGACACUGUGAAGAUCCCCGGCUCAGCAGCUGCACUCCGACCCGAAACCUUAACCACUGUACGGCGAGGCCCUGACCGAUGGCCUGCUGUGAGUCUGCAGCCUCCAAACUCAGCUGUGUCUGUUGUGCAGGAGGAAAUGUUGGUUAAUGAGUAGCCUGUGCUGAGUUGUGGCCCUCUGCUACAGGUGUGGGGGCCAAGGACAGCAGCUGAUAAGACUAGACAUGACCAGGAGAGGGGGAAGAGAGAACAACCGCAAAACAGAGGGAGGACUGGAGGAGGUGUUGCGGAGAUAUCAAUGAGCUGGCGUUACUAAGAGAUGAGCCUGGAUUCAUCAGCAUAUAACGGUAUCUGGCCCACUUCUACAUGCCUUUUACACUAUACAGCUGCUGGAUUGGAGAUUGGAGAAGUAUUUUAACACUGAAAAAAUUAUACAUCACUUUUAAGCAACCAGGUAGAUAAGAGGGCUAAAAGGAAAAGCGUUAGGCCAGAUGCAAAGCGGAGUGCCUGCAACCCACUGAGCCACGACUAUAAUCAUUAGCAUGACUUUAAGUACCUUCUAUGAAACGGUUACUGCAUAACAAAAAUAUUAAGAACAUGAAACAUUAAUGAAAGGGUGUUUCUUCAACUAAAGGCACUUUUAGCCCUGUUAACCUAUAUAUAGAUAUAUCUUAGUAUACACUUUCAUAUUUCAUAUAAACUCC
ensembl:lncRNA